CCUACGGGGGGCAGCAGUGGGGAAUAUUGCACAAUGGGGGAAACCCUGAUGCAGCGACGCCGCGUGAGCGAUGACGGAUUUCGGUGUGUAAAGCUCUAUCAGCAGGGAAGAAAAUGACGGUACCUGACUAAGAAGCCCCGGCUAACUACGUGCCAGCAGCCGCGGUAAUACGUAGGGUGCAAGCGUUAUCCGGAUUUACUGGGUGUAAAGGGAGCGUAGACGGUCCUGCAAGCGAGAUGUGAAAGCCUGGGGCUCAACCCUGGGAGUGCAGUUGGAACUGGAAGCCUAGAGUGUCGGAGAGGCAGGCGGAAUUCGUAGUGUAGCGGUGAAAUGCGUAGAUAUCAGGAGGAACACCAGUGGCGAAGGCGGCCUGCUGGACGAUGACUGACGUUGAGGCUCGAAAGCGUGGGGAGCAAACAGGAUUAGAUACCCGAGUAGUC
rnacentral:rRNA from 1 species